UACGGGGGGGGCAAGCGUUGUUCGGAAUUACUGGGCGUAAAGCGCGCGUAGGCGGCUCUUCAAGUCGAGUGUGAAAGCUCCAGGCUUAACCUGGGAAUUGCGCUCGAUACUGUUGAGCUAGAGUGCAGAAGGGGCAACUGGAAUUCUCGGUGUAGCGGUGAAAUGCGUAGAUAUCGAGAGGAACACCUGCGGCGAAGGCGGGUUGCUGGGCUGACACUGACGCUGAGGCGCGAAAGCUAGGGGAGCGAACGGG
rnacentral:rRNA from 1 species